AUGCUUCUUCUAUGAGAGCAAACACGACAUAUUCAGAAGCGCUUCUUUGAAGAAGCACUUUUUCUCACGCGCAUUGGCUCAAGCUUUCACGGUUUCUCUUGUGCGACACACUCUCAAAAUCAUGCUCUCUCCCUCUCAAUUCUUACGCAACAAUUAUGACGCUGAUUCUCUUGGUCUCGAAUUGGUUGGAUUUGGAUUUCAGAACUGAUUCGAAUUGUUAUCGACUCAGGAUUCGAUUCGCAUUGGGGCUCAGAAUCUGUUUGCGCUCGAAAUUUCAACUCGGAGCAGUUUGAGUUAAAGUUAGAGCAAGCAUACGAUAUCAUAAAGCUGAGAAUGGAGGAAUGCUUAUCGGUUGAAGCGAUGAGGAGAAGAAAAUGCAGCUUUCGAUCUUUCUCACAAGGUAUUCGAUAAAAUGCCUCACCGGAUUUUUUCCCUCUUUUUGCUUCUAUUUUACUUUUGAUUUGUUGCCGUUGUGUUUCAUAGUUGCUAUUGAUGAUUAUGCUCAGGUUAGUUUGCAUAUUAGCAUAUAAUUAUCUUCGUUAUUGCCGUUUCGUGCUAUUGCCGAUAAAAAGUAAUUAUUGUUCAUUAUGCGUGACAAAUAUAGUGUUUCUUUCCAUUGUUAUGAUUUCUUUCUUUGUUAACGUUCUAGUUGAAGUGGUUUAAUUCAGUUUUGCAAUGGGAAUCUGGGACUUGCAUAUGGUUGACAUAGUAGUAUAAUUUGUAUGAAAUAUGAACCCACUUAGUAUAUAACAAAAAUUAAUUGGAUUAUCCUAUUAAGCUAACAAUGUGAGUAGUUCUAUUAAAGACUUACAUGUUCUUUAUACAUGUGGUAUUUGUGUUAGAAGUUAGAACAAGGUAAUUGUAAAAGAAAAUGCCUUGUUUGACUAACAUCAUACUAGUUUAGGUUUGUGUACUAGUGUAAACUUAUGGACUAUUAUAUGAUCAUUAGGAAGCUCCAUGCAUGGAGUUACAGGAAGACAACAAAACUUCAUGCAAUGGCCAUUGUUUUUUGAGUGGAGUGAGGAUGCUUUGUAAUAAUUAGUAAUGUAGUGGACAUGUUUUGCAAUUACAUGAUUCCUUCUAGUUUUUGGUUUGUUGGAAUCAUUUUGUAGUGAAAAACUGAAAAUUGAAUAUUUACAUCUUUUUUCAUUUCUAAGUUGUUGCUUGACUAUUAGUCAAAGGGGUUGCAAACUGGAUGAUUGAGGCCUUGAAGCAUGUCAGCGAAUAGUCAUCUAAUGGAUCUUAGAAGGCCCAUGUCAGGUAUUUUUAUCAUACUUCACAGAAAAUGCAACAUGCAAUAUUCUGUAGUUAUUUAAUAUUAUGGCCCUGUAAGUACAAUUAGUGACAUUCUACUGCUGACCUUAUGAUAAUAGACCAGUAGGGACUUAACAUGCAGGAACUUACUCAUUCUAGAAUCAAAAUUUCAAUCAUUAUAAUUUUGUCACUGACCUUUAUAUACUUUAUUCUAUCAUUAUAAUUAUUAUUCUCAUGAUCUGAGUACUUUUUUCAUUGAAUCUUAGCCUCUCAAUAUCUUUUGGAAAUGUUUGGCAAUUAUUUAAUCAAUUAAUGUGAAAAGUUUAUUGGAUGUUUGCUUUUAGUCACGGGUGCUACAUUUUUUAAUUUGUAUUUGCCAAAAACAGAUGGACUCAUCUCACCAACUCACAUUGGAAUUUACAAAUGAUUUUGAACCCGCCAUUUUUUAAUUCUUUUGAGGUUCCUUAAAGUGCUUUUGGAAUGUGAAUUCACGUGUUAUAUUUCUGUUCAUUAAACUAACCUCAUGGAAAAAAUUUAAACUUUUAGGUUUCACAUGGAAAAAAUUUAACCUGACUGCGGCCUGUUUGACAGAAGUCAAAGCCAGCUCAUAUUUACGAUAGCUUUUAGUGAAAACCAUUAUUGACGAGCUGACUUCAGGUUUCCAAAGAUUUCUACAUAAUGCAUCAGUUUCGUAGUAAAGCAAGGUCGGUUUGAUCGUCCACAAAGGAAUCAAGAAAAGUCUUCACGUCAAUUUUGCCGAAGUUCUCGAUGAUGCCUGUUCUUGCAACGUUUGUGGCUUAGUCUGGCUUGAUGGGGAAUCGUUGUUAUAAAGCACCUGAACUUUUGAUGGGUUCUACCCGUUACUCAACUGCAGUUAAUAUCUGGUCGAUGGGCUGCAUAUUUGCGGAUAUGAUUAAGCUCAAACCUUUGUUCGUUGGUAAAGACGAACCUGAGAUAUAUUGGCUUAGAUAUUUUAGUAAUUUCACCAAAACACAAUCACUAUUAUAUGUGUAAUUUCUCUGCACUUAUAUGAAAUAAUGGAUUGGACAUUUUAUAUAUCAAGUUUGCUUGGCGUGCCAACAGAAGAAUCCUGGCCUGGUGUGUCUUCUAUAUGCACCUUUAUUCAACAUCUUGAUCCUUCAAUGAUGCCAAAGGUAUUCAUGUUCUGCUUUUGAUCUCCUUUUAUAAAUUUUGGGCAGCAAAUAAGCAAUGUAUGGAAACUAUUGGAUUUUGUAGGACCUAGCAUUAGAGUUCCCAAAGUCUAAUAGAUUUUAUUAUUCUUUUUCUAAAACUAUUUUUUGUUUUAAAAUUCACACUUAAUUUUCACUAACAACUUGAUUUUCACUUUUAAUUCACUUUUGUAAUACUAGCAUGAAUAGACAUAUAGAUUCAAAAGGAAUAUAUUGGAGCCAAUCCAACACUCCACCAACAAGAUACUCUGUUACAGUUGUUCAUUCCAAAAUCUCUAGUAUUUCUUUGUCCAGAGCUGAAUAUGAAAAUGCAGAAGUCCAGGAGGAAUUUUAUGAUGCAGUGGCUCUGAUUCAUCGACUUCAGAUGAAGAAAGUGAAGAAGAUGAAGAUCUUGAGAAUAAGGAUCGAAAGGUCAAACUAAAGAAUAUUUCAUGGGCAAUGACAGCUUUACCUUUGAAGCGAACAUCAGGCAAUGGCAAGAAGAGAAAGAAAAGUCAGCAAAGUGGAAAAGAUACAAACAAUAACAACAACGCAUAAGCGGUUUUCCCCAAAAGCUCCAACGGAGCGCUUAUUUCCCAAAGCGGUUUUUUCUGUUCAAAAUGGAGUUGCUACUCUGUUCUGUUGUGGAAGGUAAUGGAAAAACGACUUUGAAUUUGAAAUUCUCAGACUUGAACUAGUUAAAGAUGAAGCAUCCAUUACUCUAUUUUUUGGUGUUAAUUUUAUCUUUGAUAUUGCUGAUUAAAGAUGA